UACGUAGGGUGCAAGCGUUGUCCGGAAUUAUUGGGCGUAAAGAGCUCGUAGGCGGUUCGUCGCGUCGGCUGUGAAAACCUGAGGCUCAACCUCAGGCCUGCAGUCGAUACGGGCAGGCUAGAGUUCGGUAGGGGAGACUGGAAUUCCUGGUGUAGCGGUGAAAUGCGCAGAUAUCAGGAGGAACACCGAUGGCGAAGGCAGGUCUCUGGGCCGAUACUGACGCUGAGGAGCGAAAGCGUGGGGAGCGAACAGG
rnacentral:rRNA from 1 species